CAGCAGCCGCGGGAAUACGUAGGUGGCAAGCGUUGUCCGGAAUUAUUGGGCGUAAAGGGCUCGCAGGCGGUUUCUUAAGUCUGAUGUGAAAGCCCCCGGCUCAACCGGGGAGGGUCAUUGGAAACUGGGAAACUUGAGUGCAGAAGAGGAGAGUGGAAUUCCACGUGUAGCGGUGAAAUGCGUAGAGAUGUGGAGGAACACCAGUGGCGAAGGCGACUCUCUGGUCUGUAACUGACGCUGAGGAGCGAAAGCGUGGGGGGCGAACAGGAUUAGAUACCCCUGUAGUCCCUGUCUCUUAUAC
rnacentral:rRNA from 1 species